GUAAGGAAUAUUGGACAAUGGGGGAAACCCUGAUCCAGCCAUGCCGCGUGAGUGAAGAAGGCCUUCGGGUUGUAAAACUCUUUCAGAUGUGAAGAUGAUGACGGUAACAUCAGAAGAAGCUCCGGCUAACUUCGUGCCAGCAGCCGCGGUAAUACGAAGGGAGCGAGCGUUGUUCGGAAUCACUGGGCGUAAAGAGUGCGUAGGCGGUUAUACAAGUCAGGAGUGAAAUCCCAGAGCUUAACUUUGGAAUUGCUUUUGAAACUGUAUAGCUAGAGUCCCGGAGGGGUUAAUGGAAUUCCGAGUGUAGAGGUGAAAUUCGCAGAUAUUCGGAGGAACACCAGUGGCGAAGGCGAUUAACUGGACCAGCACUGACACUGAGGCACGAAAGCGUGGGGAGCAAACAGGAUUAGAAACCCUAGUAGUCC
rnacentral:rRNA from 1 species